rnacentral:lncRNA from 1 species
CCACUUUGACAAUAUUUACUUAAGUAUUUCCCCCCACCUCACUCACACACAUGCUCCCCCACACUGGUUCCCUUAAAUAGUUCCAGUAGAAUUUUUUUUUUCCCUUAAGAAAGGAAAGAGAAAGUCCAACCACUACGGCAAUACUUUUAAGCUCUACUAAAUGAUCGUAUCCUUUCUGGCUUCGAAACUUUUGUACCUAAAAAUCGAGAGAGGCGCUGCAUUUUUUCAGUUGAAACUGUCAAAACUUGGAGAAGGGGGACCUCGGAGGCAGGCAGGAGAGGAGGAGAAUCCUGAAAACUCGGUGGAGGUUGGGAAGAUGCUGUGCCUCGAGGAUUAGUUUAAACAGGGGGCUAUAAAAGAUGUAACAGAUGCAAACUGUAACACAAGGGCCAUUAACCCUUUCUCUGCCGGGCACACUCAGUCCCCACGCCCCACACCUAUUGUCUCCUGUGCUAGAAGCUUUGCAGAAAACCUGGAAAUUUUGGCCAGAAAUGGUGAGAAGAAAAAGCAUGAAGAAGCCGCGAAGUGUGGGGGAGAAAAAGGUGGAAGCGAAGAAACAGCUCCCGGAGCAAACUGUACAAAAACCUCGCCAAGAGUGUCGGGAGGCAGGACCGUUAUUCCUGCAGAGCAGGAGAGAGACGAGAGACCCUGAAACACGCGCCACCUAUCUUUGUGGGGAGGGAUAAUUGAAGCGCCCUGAGCGUGAGCAUCAUGUGAAAACGUGAUCGCCAAGUUUCUCUCUGGGAAAGGAUCUGGGAUAGAUUAUACCUUGAAGUCUCCGCAAACGCUUUAGUGGAAGAAAUGAAAUUCCACCUCCCUCCCUUCCUCCUCUCCCUCCCUUUCGCCUUCGCCUCCCUCCCCCCUCCCUCCCUUCUCCCCCCCUCCACCCCCCCCUCCCCGCCCGUCAAGCCUUUGGCAUCAUUAUCCUCAUCACUAAAUCCUACAGAGUACAGGGCGGAAAACGGUGCACACCAUUCACAGAACUGGAGAACUCCAAGGGGCGAAAGUUAAAGGGAAAGAUCCCGGGUCCUCAAUCCAGAUAGUCUCUUCUUAUACAGAUAUCUCUAAUGACCAGAUUUGAGAUGCACAUCAAAUUGUGUAGGUAUCUCAGUACAGCUUCUGGAACAAAGUUCUCUGCCCUUUCUCUUAUUGUUAUUUUUUUCUUUUUAGGUACCAGAGCCAGAAAAAAAAAUGCUGCAUGGGAGCUGCAUCUUAGGGCAUGUGUAUUAGGGUGUGUGCAUGAUGAAUUUCUGGACUGGAUCCCAAUAUUAAAAAGUAGUUUGGCAUUUUAAUAAAGGGUCUCUAAGUAAAUUAAAAUAGAACACUCGGUUGGCCGAUCUCUGAAUCUCUCUACACCUCGGGGAGACCUCACUACAAAGUAAGGGAGAGUGUGUAGGGAGGCAGGAGGAGAAACGAGAAAGGCCAUAGAGAAACUUAGCAGGGAAGGGAGAGCAUGAUAUUAAACGGCAUGGGGUCUAAGUUUUGGAGUAUAUAUUUUUUGAUAUUACAAUUAAAGUAAGAUUAAAAAGAAAAGACUCCACCUUUGCUCUGAAGGGAUUGGUUAUGCAAAUAUGGAAGGGAUUUCCUGGAGAAUACAGCUUUCUACUGUAUGGUUAAUUAAAUAAUCACUCAAAAGCUUCCAACGUGACGCUUCUGUCGUAAUCCAAUCAGGUUACAUAGGUCCUAAACAAGAAAGAUAUUUUCCACAUCUGGAAGUCAGCAAUUUAGCAAGUACUGCACAUUAUUAACCAAUUCAGAGCCCACUUCCCAGGGGAAUUUUUUUGAAGUUUAAGUGUUCUUAACCAAUGCUCUGCUGUUUUGUUAAUCAAAAAGCUGGUUUACACUGCACAUAAUUGGAACUAAUAUAGAAGUAAAUAAAGACAGCCAAAUUUGAGGAUGCUGAGCACA